UCGGACGUGGUGUACGGAACAUCACCAGCUUUCUUAAGACUUCCAUCCCAUAAGAGAGGUGCUGGCAGUCCGGGGUUCGACUCCCCGUGUCCGAA